UGUCUUGUCUCCCACUCGAUUGAUCGGAAAGAAUAGAGCGAAGAGAUAACGGCUCAGAUUUAUCUUGGGGUUUCUUCGCGGCUUGCUUUUACUGAACCGGACAGACCGGUCUUACUAAAGGGCUGUGACAUCAUAUUAUUCCAUCGCGCCGCGGACGAAAUUGCACACCAGUGCUGACGUGGCCGGUAAUUUAAAAAAAAAAAGGAAAACAGAGGGAAACUUAUACAGAGAAAGCUUCCAAAGCAAGCUUGCUGUCAGCUCACCCAUCCGUGCGUUGCGAGUGGGAGGACCUCUGCGACCGGCCUCUUCUCCGACCAGCUCCUCUCCGACAGCCUCGUCGGACGUGACUUCCACUUAUAUUCUCCAACAUUUUCAGUCGCGCAACCAACUCCUCUCUCAUUCAAUGGAGAAAGUGAAGGAGCAUGCAUCUUCUACUUCACGUCUUACCGAAGAACAUGCAACAAAUCCAUCAACCUAGGCAAAUCUGAUAUUCCCAUUUCACUCAAGCACUAACCCUCCGAUUGGGGAAUACUCUGCAAGUUCAAGCCAUGCUGUUGAGCCUGAAAAUAUAUCACCUGACUCUACGGGAAAAAGUAUGUCUAUGCCUUCGUAUCCUGAUACUGUUGAAUCAAAUCAAACGGACCAUUCUGUACCAAGGCCACAAAAUGUAUUGCAUACUGAAGGGGCUGAAAUCGUUGAGGAACCGAAGUUGGGUAUGGUGUUUCAAUCUGAAUAAGAGUUACUUUCAUACUAUAAAAGAUAUGGGCAACAAUGUAGUUUUGGGAUAAUGAUACAAAGGAGUCAUAGGUUUGAGGAUAGGAGUGUUAGAUAUGUGACAGUGGGUUGUGCUCGUUGUGGGAAGGCACGGAACCGUACGUCAAAUGUCGCAAGACCACGUCCUACAUCAAAGACAGAUUGUAAGGCAAUGAUAAAUGCCUUAUUCAGAAAAGGGGUGUUGACGUUGUCGAGUGUUAACAAUACCCAUAAUCACGGCCUAAGUCCACGAAAGACGAGAUUCUUUCGCUGUAAUAAAGAAGUCAGCGAGUCUAUUAAGAGGUUGUUAGAUAUAAAUGAUCAAGCUGGGAUCAGAAUGAACAAGAGUUUCGUCUCUCUUGUGCAAAAAGUGGGUGGGUUUGAAAACCUCUCUUUCAAUGAAAAAGACUGUCGUAACUAUAUUGACAGGGCAAACCACCUUCGACUUGGGAAAGGUGGCGCUGGAACCCUCCGUGAGUACUUUGCUUGGAUGCAAUACAAGAAUGACGGGUUCUUUUCACUCAUGGAUAUGGAUGAUGACGGGCGGUUGAGGAAUGUAUUCUGGGCAGAUGCCUGAAGUAGGGCAGCGUACAAAUAUUUUGGUGAUGUCAUGACAUUCGACACGACGUAUUUGACAAACAGAUAUGGGAUGCCGUUUGCACCGUUUGUUGGUGUAAACCACCAUGGCCAGUCAAUUUUGUUGGGGGCAGGAUUAAUUUCGAGCGAGGAUUCGGAAACAUUUUCAUGAUUGUUUCAUACUUGGUUGAACUGUAUGGAUGGUGAAGCUCCCAAGGCUAUUAUCACAGACCAAGAUAGAGUCAUGAAAAAUACAAUAAGUCUUGUGUUUCUAAAUAGCCGGCACAGAUUUUGUUUAUGGCACAUAUUGAAAAAAAUCCCUGAGAAACUAGGUUCACAUGGUGCAUACAAGACCGGGUUGAAGAGUGAGUUGCUAAAUUGUGUAUAUGACUCUCACACAAUAGAGGAGUUUGAGGUCUCUUGGGAAAUAUUCAUUAUGAAGUAUAACUUGCAGGAGAAUGCUUAGUUGAAGAGUUUAUACGAUGAACGUACGUAUUGGGCACCAGUGUUCAUAAAAGAAGUGUUUUGGGCUGGAAUGAGUACAACCCAGCGAAGCGAGAGCAUGAAUGUUUUUUUCGAUGGGUAUGUGCAUGCUAAGACAAACUUGAAAGAGUUUGUCGAUCAGCUCGAUAAUGCCUUGAGGAAGAAGAUUGAGAAUGAAAGUGCUGCAGACUUCCACUCAUUCAACUUCACAAUUCCUGUCGUCUCUCCCUCUCCACUUGAGAAGAUUUUUCAGCAUAUUUACACUUGCAAUAAAUUCAGAGAAGUUCAGAAAGAAGUGAUAGGGAUGCUUGCAAUUCUUUCAACUCUUCACCGGGAGGAUGGUGUAAUUGCAACUUACCAUGUAGAAGAUGAACUGAAUGUCGAUGGUUUCAUUAAGGAGGUAACCCACACAGUCUACAUUAAUGAGGCCGAAUGUGAAGUGAAGUGUUCAUGUGCCUUGUUUAUAAUGAGAAGGAUUUUGUGUAGACAUGUCUUGGGCAUUAUGAGAGUUAACAAAGUCCGUGAGGUUCUAGAUAAGUACAUUAUAGAUCGAUGGAGGAAAGACAUAAAACGAACAUACACUCUUAUACGAAGUAGUUAUGAUGUGGUUGACCAGAGGCCUGAAGUUAAGAGACAUUCACGUAUCAUCAAGAAAUGCUACGAAGUAGCCACACAGGCAGCAUCAUGUGAUGAGCACACUGAGGAUAUGCUGGGAAAGUUAGAAGAAAUGAACUUAAGCUACCGCACCAACAAGCCACCAUCGAAGAUUGUAAGUUCUGCACCCGAUACAAUGACUGAAGCGAGUUCGAAGAAAGUACUGAGUCCCCAUGUAAUGAGGGGAAAAGGCAGACCGCCGUCUCUCAGGAAAAAAUCAAUGAUUGAGCGGCUGAAACCCACGACGAAGAAGGCUAGUUAGAAAGGAAACCGUAAACAGUAGAUUGAUAUGAGACGGGAUGACGUACAACUUUCAGCUAAGAUAUGUUCAUUUUACUGUUGUGGGUGAAAUAGACUUGCAAGUAUUCUGACUUUUCAUUUCUUUUGUACCUCGUAGCCGCAUGGACGUGAAGGAGAGAAUACAAGAACGUGUAGGAACUUAUUUGGCCAAAGAGAUGUUGUAAGACAAGAAGAUGUCCUAGUUCAGCCGCCUGACAAUACUACCGAAGUGUUGGACUUUAGUGGCACCGAUCACGGUCUUGCUGUGACUGAGACUCAAGAAAAUGCAAUUUGGGGUGGAUGGAAACCAGCCGGAUAGCUUGAGUGAGACACAACCGUGGGAAUAAAUACACAAUCUGGGGUUUGUAUCUCGAUUGCACCUUUCAUAUUAUUUUUCUAAUAUGAAAAUCUACCCCCUUAUUGGCAUCAUAUAUGUUUAUUGGAAUUUCUAGUGACAAGUAUAAUGAUAUUUUAGAAAUAUGUAGUUAAGUUAUGGUUACAUUAAUUUGGUAUCAUUUUGUUGAUAUAUACUAGGUUCAUAUGAUUUUUGGUGUUACGAUUUCAGUUCAUAUAGAGGUUAUGGUAGAUUCAUGGGAGUUUUGUACAAGGGGAAGAUCAUUUUCGAUGUUGGAAUAGCUCAUUGUAGGCCGAGUGCUCGUGGUGAUUUUGUAUUGCAAGAUGCGUGGAGAUAGAGUUGCAAAAGAUGGAGGUUGUGUAUAUGUUUUGGAGGUAUGUAUGUAAGAGGACAGUUGCAGUGUAGUUGGGUAUUUUUUGAUGGGUGGACAUAGGAGAUGGAUGUUGUAUUUAUUUUUUGAUGUGUGGAUAAGAGAUGGAUGUUGUAUUUAUUUUAUUUUAUGAUAAAUCCGAUAGGAGAUGGCUGGUGUAAAUUUGUAGAUAGGAACUGAUUAUUUUGAUGGGUGGACAGAUUUUAUUGUGUAAUUAAAGGACAGGACUUGUGUAAUUGUUAUCUCUGAUAUAUACAUGGAU